rnacentral:rRNA from 1 species
AGACCCGAAACCCGGUGAUCUAGCCAUGGGCAGGUUGAAGGUUGGGUAACACUAACUGGAGGACCGAACCGACUAAUGUUGAAAAAUUAGCGGAUGACCUGUGGCUGGGGGUGAAAGGCCAAUCAAACCGGGAGAUAGCUGGUUCUCCCCGAAAGCUAUUUAGGUAGCGCCUCGUGAAUUCAUCUCCGGGGGUAGAGCACUGUUUCGGCUAGGGGGUCAUCCCGACUUACCAACCCGAUGCAAACUGCGAAUACCGGAGAAUGUUAUCACGGGAGACACACGGCGGGUGCUAACGUCCGUCGUGAAGAGGGAAACAACCCAGACCGCCAGCUAAGGUCCCAAAGUCAUGGUUAAGUGGGAAACGAUGUGGGAAGGCCCAGACAGCCAGGAUGUUGGCUUAGAAGCAGCCAUCAUUUAAAGAAAGCGUAAUAGCUCACUGGUCGAGUCGGCCUGCGCGGAAGAUGUAACGGGGCUAAACCAUGCACCGAAGCUGCGGCAGCGACACUCAGGUGUUGUUGGGUAGGGGAGCGUUCUGUAAGCCUGCGAAGGUGGCCUGUGAGGGUUGCUGGAGGUAUCAGAAGUGCGAAUGCUGACAUAAGUAACGAUAAAGCGGGUGAAAAGCCCGCUCGCCGGAAGACCAAGGGUUCCUGUCCAACGUUAAUCGGGGCAGGGUGAGUCGACCCCUAAGGCGAGGCCGAAAGGCGUAGUCGAUGGGAAACGGGUUAAUAUUCCCGUACUUGGUGUUACUGCGAAGGGGGGACGGAGAAGGCUAUGUUGGCCGGGCGACGGUUGUCCCGGUUUAAGCGUGUAGGUGUGUGUUCCAGGUAAAUCCGGUUCACUUUAACACUGAGGCGUGAUGACGAGGCACUACGGUGCUGAAGCAACAAAUGCCCUGCUUCCAGGAAAAGCCUCUAAGCAUCAGGUAACAUCAAAUCGUACCCCAAACCGACACAGGUGGUCAGGUAGAGAAUACCAAGGCGCUUGAGAGAACUCGGGUGAAGGAACUAGGCAAAAUGGUGCCGUAACUUCGGGAGAAGGCACGCUGACACGUAGGUGAAGUGAUUUACUCAUGGAGCUGAAGUCAGUCGAAGAUACCAGCUGGCUGCAACUGUUUAUUAAAAACACAGCACUGUGCAAACACGAAAGUGGACGUAUACGGUGUGACGCCUGCCCGGUGCCGGAAGGUUAAUUGAUGGGGUCAGCGCAAGCGAAGCUCCUGAUCGAAGCCCCGGUAAACGGCGGCCGUAACUAUAACGGUCCUAAGGUAGCGAAAUUCCUUGUCGGGUAAGUUCCGACCUGCACGAAUGGCGUAAUGAUGGCCAGGCUGUCUCCACCCGAGACUCAGUGAAAUUGAACUCGCUGUGAAGAUGCAGUGUACCCGCGGCAAGACGGAAAGACCCCGUGAACCUUUACUAUAGCUUGACACUGAACAUUGAGCCUUGAUGUGUAGGAUAGGUGGGAGGCUUUGAAGCGUGGACGCCAGUCUGCGUGGAGCCGACCUUGAAAUACCACCCUUUAAUGUUUGAUGUUCUAACGUGGACCCGUGAUCCGGGUUGCGGACAGUGUCUGGUGGGUAGUUUGACUGGGGCGGUCUCCUCCUAAAGAGUAACGGAGGAGCACGAAGGUUGGCUAAUCCUGGUCGGACAUCAGGAGGUUAGUGCAAUGG